rnacentral:rRNA from 1 species
CAGCAGUGGGGAAUAUUGGACAAUGGGCGCAAGCCUGAUCCAGCAAUGCCGCGUGUGUGAAGAAGGCCUUCGGGUUGUAAAGCACUUUUAUCAGGAGCGAAAUACUACUGGCUAAUAACCGGUGGGGCUGACGGUACCUGAGGAAUAAGCACCGGCUAACUUCGUGCCAGCAGCCGCGGUAAUACGAAGGGUGCAAGCGUUAAUCGGAAUUACUGGGCGUAAAGCGUGCGUAGGCGGUGAGUUAAGUCUGUUGUGAAAUCCCCGGGCUCAACCUGGGAAUGGCAAUGGAUACUGGCUCGCUAGAGUGUGAUAGAGGAUGGUGGAAUUCCCGGUGUAGCGGUGAAAUGCGUAGAGAUCGGGAGGAACAUCAGUGGCGAAGGCGGCCAUCUGGAUCAACACUGACGCUGAGGCACGAAAGCGUGGGGAGCAAACAGGAUUAGAUACCCUGGUAGUCCACGCCCUAAACGAUGCGAACUGGAUGUUGGUCUCAACUCGGAGAUCAGUGUCGAAGCUAACGCGUUAAGUUCGCCGCCUGGGGAGUACGGUCGCAAGACUGAAACUCAAAGGAAUUGACG